CUACGGGAGGCUCCAGUGGGGAAUAUUGGACAAUGGGGGAAACCCUGAUCCAGCAAUGCCGCGUGUGUGAAGAAGGCCUGCGGGUUGUAAAGCACUUUCGGUUGGGAGGACUGCUUCUAGCACUAAUAUUGUUGGAAGUUGACGUUACCUUCAGAAGAAGCACCGGUUAACUCCGUGCCAGCAGCCGCGGUAAUACGGAGGGUGCAAGCGUUAAUCGGAAUUACUGGGCGUAAAGCGCGCGUAGGCGGCUAGAUCAGUCGGGUGUGAAAGCCCCGGGCUUAACCUGGGAACUGCAUCCGAUACUGUCUAGCUUGAGUACAGGAGAGGAGAGUGGAAUUCCACAUGUAGCGGUGAAAUGCGUAGAUAUGUGGAGGAACACCAAUGGCGAAGGCAGCUCUCUGGCCUGAUACUGACGCUGAGGUGCGAAAGCGUGGGGAUCAAACAGGAUUAGAUACCCGUGUAGUC
rnacentral:rRNA from 1 species